AUUGAACGCUGGCGGCAGGCCUAACACAUGCAAGUCGAGCGAGCGGCGGACGGGUGAGUAAUGUAUGGGGAUCUGCCUGAUAGAGGGGGAUAACUACUGGAAACGGUGGCUAAUACCGCAUACCAUCGGAUGUGCCCAUAUGGGAUUAGCUAGUAGGUGGGGUAAAGGCGCACCUAGGCGACGAUCCCUAGCUGGUCUGAGAGGAUGAUCAGCCACACUGGGACUGAGACACGGGCCAGACUCUUACGGGAGGCAGCAGUGGGGAAUAUUGCACAAUGGGCGCAAGCAUGAUGCAGCCAUGCCGCGUGUGUGAAGAAGGCCUUAGGGUUGGAAAGUACUUUCAGCGGGGAGGCGUUACCCGCAGAAGAAGCACCGGCUAACUCCGUGCCAGCAGCCGCGGUAAUAC
rnacentral:rRNA from 1 species